rnacentral:tRNA from 1 species
GGCCGGUUAGCUCAGUCAGUUGAGCGUGGCACUAACAACACCAAGGUCGCGGGUUUGAUUCCCGUUCGGUCC